rnacentral:lncRNA from 1 species
GCCUAUUAGUCACAGGUAAUGAGAAUAAUUUUCAGGAAGAAACAAAUUUCAGAUGCAAUUUUAUAGUUAGUAGGGAAGGAGAUCCACCUAUCAAGCUUCCAAAAAAAUCUGGUGUAUUUUCAAGCAGUAUUAUUGUAUAUGGGUUUAUUUCUCCUCUGUUUUACAAAUGAGUUUUCACUGAAAUGCUGUUAAAAUUGUCAAAUGUGGUUCAUUUGAAAUUCUAGUAUUUCAUUAUAAAUCAGUAUUUUUGGAGUUGUAAUUAUGUUAAUGGUUAACUUUUAAUGCAGUCAGUCCAGUGUCUUUCAACAUACACAGGUUCUGUCUACAGGUUGAGAUGAAAGAAUACAGGCACAGCUACUCAAAUCAGUAUGUCAAGAAACUGCUGCAAAACUUAACCUAUCUCAACAUCACCUUAUAUCCAGCACCUGGGGAUGAUCAUAUAAGGAGAACUUGGAGAAAUCCAGCCAGCAGAAAGGCUGAAGACUCUGAAAUAACAGGGGGAAGAAAUCGUUCACCUUUGAAAGAUAGUCUUUCACCAUGGGAAGAAUGGUUCAUUUGCAAAGAGAAGGAACUACGUGCCCGCUUACAAGCUAGAGCUCUGGAGGAAAUUAAUCUACAGCUUGAGAAAAUGAAAGAAAAGCAAGAAUUUGAAAGAAGGAGAAGGAUAGCUGAAGAGAAGCACAAGGAAUGGGUGCAAAAAAAAAAAGAAGAGGUAAAUACUGCUUUGGUUGUAAAUAUUAUAGCACAUGCUGUGCUUUAGUAAACCUAUGUAAAAUUUGCCCAGGCUUUUUGAACAACCAUGUUUUUACUUUGCUGAAUAAUGGCUGUUUUAAUUGAAAAUUAUAAAAUCACAUCAACAGAGUUUAACAUUUUUCC